GACGGAGGGGGCAAGCGUUGUUCGGAAUUAUUGGGCGUAAAGGGCUCGUAGCGGAUCCGCCAGUUUGUACGUGAAAUCUCCACCGCUCACCGGGGAGGGGCCGUUGAAUACUACGGAUCUGGAGUUCGGCAGAGGACCGAUGGAAUUUCGGGGUGUAGCGGUGGAAUGCGUAGAGUAUCCGAAAGAACACCGGUGGCGAAGGCGGUGGAUCUGG
rnacentral:rRNA from 1 species